AUUGAACGCUGGCGGCAGGCUUAACACAUGCAAGUCGAGCGGAGAUGAGGUGCUUGCACCUUAUCUUAGCGGCGGACGGGUGAGUAAUGCUUAGGAAUCUGCCUAUUAGUGGGGGACAACAUUCCGAAAGGAAUGCUAAUACAGCAUACGUCCUACGGGAGAAAGCAGGGGAUCUUCGUACCUUGCGCUAAUAGAUGAGCCUAAGUCGGAUUAGCUAGUUGGUGGGGUAAAGGCCUACCAAGGCGACGAUCUGUAGCGGGUCUGAGAGGAUGGUCCGCCACACUGGGACUGAGAGAACGGACAGACGCCUACGGGAAGCAGCAGUGGGGAAUAUUGGACAAUGGGGGGAACCCUGAUCCAGCCAUGCCGCGUGUGUGAAGAAGGCCUUAUGGUUGUAAAGCACUUUAAGCGAGUAGGAGGCUACUGAGACUAAUACUCUUGGAUAGUGGACGUUACUCGCAGAAUAAGCACCGGCUAACUCUGUGCCAGCAGCCGCGGUAACAC
rnacentral:rRNA from 1 species